UACGGAGGGUGCAAGCGUUAUCCGGAUUUAUUGGGUUUAAAGGGUGCGUAGGCGGAUCUGUAAGUCAGUGGUGAAAUCUCACAGCUUAACUGUGAAACUGCCAUUGAUACUGCAGGUCUUGAGUGUUAUUGAAGUAGCUGGAAUAAGUAGUGUAGCGGUGAAAUGCAUAGAUAUUACGUAGAACACCAAUUGCGAAGGCAGGUUACUAAGCAACAACUGACGCUGAUGGACGAAAGCGUGGGGAGCGAACAGG
rnacentral:rRNA from 1 species